rnacentral:rRNA from 1 species
UCAUGCAAGUCGAGCGNACAGAAGGGAGCUUGCUCCCGGUAUGUUAGCGGCGGACGGGUGAGUAACACGGUGGGCUAACCUGCCUGAUAAGACUGGGAUAACUCCGGGAAACCGGAGCUAAUACCGGAUAGUUCCUUGAACCGCAUGGUUCAAGGAUGAAAGACGGUUUCGGCUGUCACUUACAGAUGGACCCGCGGCGCAUUAGCUAGUUGGUGGGGUAAUGGCUCACCAAGGCGACGAUGCGUAGCCGACCUGAGAGGGUGAUCGGCCACACUGGGACUGAGACACGGCCCAGACUCCUACGGGAGGCAGCAGUAGGGAAUCUUCCGCAAUGGACGAAAGUCUGACGGAGCAACGCCGCGUGAGUGAUGAAGGUUUUCGGAUCGUAAAGCUCUGUUGUUAGGGAAGAACAAGUGCGAGAGUAACUGCUCGCACCUUGACGGUACCUAACCAGAAAGCCACGGCUAACUACGUGCCAGCAGCCGCGGUAAUACGUAGGUGGCAAGCGUUGUCCGGAAUUAUUGGGCGUAAAGGGCUCGCAGGCGGUUUCUUAAGUCUGAUGUGAAAGCCCCCGGCUCAACCGGGGAGGGUCAUUGGAAACUGGGAAACUUGAGUGCAGAAGAGGAGAGUGGAAUUCCACGUGUAGCGGUGAAAUGCGUAGAGAUGUGGAGGAACACCAGUGGCGAAGGCGACUCUCUGGUCUGUAACUGACGCUGAGGAGCGAAAGCGUGGGGAGCGAACAGGAUUAGAUACCCUGGUAGUCCACGCCGUAAACGAUGAGUGCUAAGUGUUAGGGGGUUUCCGCCCCUUAGUGCUGCAGCUAACGCAUUAAGCACUCCGCCUGGGGAGUACGGUCGCAAGACUGAAACUCAAAGGA